GAUGAACGCUGGCGGCGUGCCUAAUACAUGCAAGUCGAGCGAAUGGAUUAAGAGCUUGCUCUUAUGAAGUUAGCGGCGGACGGGUGAGUAACACGUGGGUAACCUGCCCAUAAGACUGGGAUAACUCCGGGAAACCGGGGCUAAUACCGGAUAACAUUUUGAACCGCAUGGUUCGAAAUUGAAAGGCGGCUUCGGCUGUCACUUAUGGAUGGACCCGCGUCGCAAUAGCUAGUUGGUGAGGUAACGGCGCACCAAGGCAACGAUGCGUAGCCGACCUGAGAGGGUGAUCGGCCAGACUGGGACUGAGACACGGCCCAGACUCCUACGGGAGGCAGCAGUAGGGAAUCUUCCGCAAUGGACGAAAGUCUGACGGAGCAACGCCGCGUGAGUGAUGAAGGCUUUCGGGUCGUAAAACUCUGUUGUUAGGGAAGAACAAGUGCUAGUUGAAUAAGCUGGCACCUUGACGGUACCUAACCAGAAAGCCACGGCUAACUACGUGCCAGCCGCCGCAGUAA
rnacentral:rRNA from 1 species